rnacentral:rRNA from 1 species
UACAGAGGAUGCAAGCGUUAUCCGGAAUGAUUGGGCGUAAAGCGUCUGUAGGUGGCUUUUUAAGUCCGCCGUCAAAUCCCAGGGCUCAACCCUGGACAGGCGGUGGAAACUACCAAGCUGGAGUACGGUAGGUGCAGAGGGAAUUUCCGGUGGAGUGGUGAAAUGCAUUGAGAUCGGAAAGAACACCAACGGCGAAAGCACUCUGCUGGGCCGACACUAACACUGAGCGACGAAAGCUAGGGGAGCAAAUGGG